GGAUGCGAUGAUACCAGCACUAAAGCACCGGAUCCCAUCAAAACUCCGAAGUUAAGCGUGCUUGGGCGAGAGUAGUACAAGGAUGGGUGACCUCCUGGGAAGUCCUCGUGUUGCAUUCC
rnacentral:rRNA from 2 species